CACUGAACAUUGAGCCUUGAUGUGUAGGAUAGGUGGGAGGCUUUGAAGUGUGGACGCCAGUCUGCAUGGAGCCGACCUUGAAAUACCACCCUUUAAUGUUUGAUGUUCUAACGUUGGCCCCUAAUCGGGGUUGCGGACAGUGUCUGGUGGGUAGUUUGACUGGGGCGGUCUCCUCCUAAAGAGUAACGGAGGAGCACGAAGGUUGGCUAAUCCUGGUCGGACAUCAGGAGGUUAGUGCAAUGGCAUAAGCCAGCUUGACUGCGAGCGUGACGGCGCGAGCAGGUGCGAAAGCAGGUCAUAGUGAUCCGGUGGUUCUGAAUGGAAGGGCCAUCGCUCAACGGAUAAAAGGUACUCCGGGGAUAACAGGCUGAUACCGCCCAAGAGUUCAUAUCGACGGCGGUGUUUGGCACCUCGAUGUCGGCUCAUCACAUCCUGGGGCUGAAGUAGGUCCCAAGGGUAUGGCUGUUCGCCAUUUAAAGUGGUACGCGAGCUGGGUUUAGAACGUCGUGAGACAGUUCGGUCCCUAUCUGCCGUGGGCGCUGGAGAACUGAGGGGGGCUGCUCCUAGUACGAGAGGACCGGAGUGGACGCAUCACUGGUGUUCGGGUUGUCAUGCCAAUGGCACUGCCCGGUAGCUAAAUGCGGAAGAGAUAAGUGCUGAAAGCAUCUAAGCACGAAACUUGCCCCG
rnacentral:rRNA from 1 species